rnacentral:rRNA from 1 species
AUUGAACGCUGGCGGCAGGCCUAAAACAUGCAAGUCGAACGAGUGGCGGACGGGUGAGUAAUGUCUGGGAAACUGCCUGAUGGAGGGGGAUAACUACUGGAAACGGUAGCUAAUACCGCAUACCAUCAGAUGUGCCCAGAUGGGAUUAGCUAGUUGGUGGGGUAACGGCUCACCAAGGCGACGAUCCCUAGCUGGUCUGAGAGGAUGACCAGCGACACUGUAACUGAGGCACGGUCCAGACUCCUACGGGAGGCAGGAGUGGGGUAUAUUGCACAAGGGGCGAAAGCCUGAUGCAGCCAUGCCGCGUGUAUGAAGAAGGUCUACGGGUUGUAAAGUACUUUCAGCGGGGAGGCGUUACCCGCAGAAGAAGCACCUGCUAACUCCGUGCAAGCAGCCGCGGUAAUUC